rnacentral:rRNA from 1 species
AAUCGGUACGACAGGUGCUGCAUGGCUGUCGUCAGCUCGUGUCGUGAGAUGUUGGGUUAAGUCCCGCAACGAGCGCAACCCUUAUCAUUAGUUGCUACGCAAGGGCACUCUAAUGAGACUGCCGGUGACAAACCGGAGGAAGUGGGGAUGACGUCAAGUCCUCAUGGCCCUUAUGGGUAGGGCUUCACACGUCACACAAUGGUCGGUACAGAGGGUUGCCAAGCCGCGAGGCGGAGCCAAUCCCACAAAGCCGAUCGUAGUCCGGAUUGUUCUCUGCAACUCGAGAGCAUGAAGUCGGAAUCGCUAGUAAUCGCGGAUCAGCCAUGCCGCGGUGAAUACGUUCCCGGGCCUU